GCCCGCAGGUAGCGUUUACUUGCCUUCCCAGCAGGUCCUUCAGCUAUUCUGUGUAAAUCUUGUUAGAUCCGCGGCUGUCAGAGCAUUGCCAUGGCAGUGCGGCACGCUGCGAAGAGCUGAAGGAGCUGCUGGGAAGGUAAAUAAAUGCUACCUGCGGGC